GGAAGGAUCAUUAAUAACGUUCUUGAACGUUUUAUUCUACAUACCUUUGUGAAUUUGUUUUUCUAUCCCUUUCUCCCUUCUAAUUCAUUAGAAGGCUCACGAGUGGAUCGAGCUCUCCGGAUCUCUUUCUUCUCAUCUUAAACACCUUAUUUCAUCUCCUUUUUGCUAGUUGAUUUUUUAAUUCAAACGUCGUCAUGACCUUUGUUUUUUAUUUAAACGUAUUCAAACAGCUGGAUUUAUCCUUCUCUUUGUACUACAAAAUACAACUCUUAGCAAUGGAUAUCUAGGUUCUCGCAACGAUGAAGAACGCAGCGAAAUGCGAUACGUAAUGCGAAUUGCAGAAUUCAGUGAAUCAUCAAAUUUUUGAACGCAAAUUGCGCUCUUGGGAUAGACCUAGGAGCACACCUCUCUCAGUAUCGGUUCAUCCAACCACUCAAUACCAAGAGGGUAAGGCAACUUAUCCGACGGGUCAUUGGACAAUGAGAGUCUUUCUCUUUCAAUAGAGGAAGUCUCUUCAAAUCCAUGGAAGAACGCUCUUUCCUUUACUCAUACUCAUCUGUGAAAUCAUUCGUGCUAUUCGAAUGACUUCCGUCUCUGAUGAGGCUUUCUAUUCUUCUAUCGUGGAACAGAAUCUCGAGUCGACGUGACUAUUGACCUCUGGUCUUCUCUUACGUUGUUCUUGCGGAUGCUGCUUCGACUUUAGAGCUACGGAAUAGUCUGCUCUCUCUAGGAUGGAAGGCGACUCCAAUAGGAUUCCUCUCCCAGUUUGAAGGCCAAAGAAAGAAAGCUUCUGCAGCGUAGUUGUAUGUAAGAAGAACUACACUCCUUCGUUCGUCCUGCCUAAGGAAGACGAUUUGAAUUUAUGAUCUGAGAUGAAGUGAGACAACCCCCUGAAUUUAAGCAUAUUAAUAAGGGGAGGAAAAGAAAAUAACAAUCAUGCCCCCAGUAACGGCGAGUGAAGCGGGCAAGCUCAAUUUGAAAAUCAAUUACCUAAACAGGUCAUUGAAUUGUAUCCUAGAGACGUAUGAUCAGCUUCACCUUAGGUAUAAGUUCUUUGGAAUGAGACCAGAUAUAGGGUGAGAUGCCCGUAUAUGACCUAUAGUCUUGUGUAAGCGUACGAUCUAUGUUCUUCGAGUCGAGUUGUUUGGGAUUGCAGCUCUAAAUGGGUGGUAAGAAUCAUCUAAAGCUAAAUAUAGGCGAGAGACCGAUAGCGAACAAGUACCGUGAGGGAAAGAUGAAAAGAACUUUGGAAGAGAGUUAAAUAGUACUUGAAAUUGCUAAGAGGGAAGCGAUGAACACGAGUUAUUCAUUCUAGGUAAAUCGUAGAUAUGCCUCUCUAACUCUUUUUCUCAGUUGGAUAACUCUGAGUGAAAGAGUGAAAAGGUGGUUGUUUAUUUAUUAUUUAGAAUAGGUCAAGAUCAAUUCGCAGAGUGGAAGAAGCAAAUAAGAAAGGUAGGAGAGUUUACUCUCUGUUAAGUCUUAUUUGACUACCUCUCUUUGGAUUGAGGAAGUUAUAGUGCGCUGCUUGCGGCUUACUGCCUGGCUGCUCUCGUUUUAUCUUGGUUCUAUAUAGCAAUGCUAUGUAGGAUUAGAUAGGAUAGAUUCAGUCCGGUUGGUUUAUGUGCUAUCACGAUCUUGUACAAAAUCGUUUUCAUCGACCCGUCUUGAAACACGGACCAAGGAGUCUAACAUCUAUGCAAGUAUUUGAGUGAUUAAAACUCUGAUGCGUAAUGAAAGUAAAGGUAGACUUGUUUCUACUAAGGUAGGAAAUCUGUUGAUUCAGAUGGCACUAUCGACCGAUCAUCACUUGUGAAAGAUUUGAGUAAGAGCAUAUCUGUUGGGACCCGAAAGAUGGUGAUCUAUGCCUGAACAGGGUGAAGCCAGGAGAAAUUCUGGUGGAGGCUCGUAGCGAUACUGACGUGCAAAUCGUUCGUCUGAUUUGGGUAUAGGGGCGAAAGACUAAUCGAACCAUCUAGUAGCUGGUUCCCUC
rnacentral:misc_RNA from 1 species